rnacentral:rRNA from 1 species
CUAGAGUUUGAUCCUGGCUCAGAAUCAACGCUGGCGGCGUGCCUAACACAUGCAAGUCGAACGAGAAAGUGUAGCAAUACAUGAGUAAAGUGGCGACCGGGUGAGUAACACGUGACUAACCUACCCUUGAGUGGGGGAUAACCUCGGGAAACCGGGGCUAAUACCGCAUAACAUUACGAGGCGCAAAUCCUUGUAAUCAAAGGAGCAAUUCGCUGAAGGAGGGGGUCGCGGCUGAUUAGCUAGUUGGUAAGGUAAUGGCUUACCAAGGCAAUGAUCAGUAGCCGGCCUGAGAGGGCGCACGGCCACACUGGAACUGAAACACGGUCCAGACUCCUACGGGAGGCAGCAGUGGGGAAUUUUGCGCAAUGGGGGAAACCCUGACGCAGCAACGCCGCGUGGAGGAUGAAGUCCCUUGGGAUGUAAACUCCUU